rnacentral:rRNA from 1 species
GACGAACGCUGGCGGCGUGCUUAACACAUGCAAGUCGAACGGAAAGGCCCUGCUUUUGUGGGGUGCUCGAGUGGCGAACGGGUGAGUAACACGUGAGUAACCUGCCCUUGACUUUGGGAUAACUUCAGGAAACUGGGGCUAAUACCGGAUAGGAGCUCCUGCUGCAUGGUAGGGGUUGGAAAGUUUCGGCGGUUGGGGAUGGACUGGCGGCUCAUCAGCUUGUUGGUGGGGUAGUGGCUUACCAAGGCUUUGACGGGUAGCCGGCCUGAGAGGGUGACCGGCCACAUUGGGACUGAGAUGCGGCCCAGACUCCUACGGGAGGCAGCAGUGGGGAAUAUUGCACAAUGGGCGGAAGCCUGAUGCAGCGACGCCGCGUGCGGGAUGACGGCCUUCGGGUUGUAAACCGCUUUCGCCUGUGACGAAGCGUGAGUGACGGUAAUGGGUGAAGAAGCACCGGCUAACUACGUG